rnacentral:sRNA from 1 species
UUAUAAUAUGUAGAAA